UACGUAGGGUGCAAGCGUUAAUCGGAAUUACUGGGCGUAAAGGGCGCGUAGGCGGAUACUUAAGUCGGGGGUGAAAGCCCGGGGCUCAACCUCGGAAUUGCCUUCGAUACUGGGUAUCUUGAGUUCGGGAGAGGUGAGUGGAACUCCGAGUGUAGAGGUGAAAUUCGUAGAUAUUCGGAAGAACACCAGUGGCGAAGGCGACUCACUGGCCCGAUACUGACGCUGAUGCGCGAAAGCGUGGGGAGCAAACAGG
rnacentral:rRNA from 1 species